UGGGGAAUAUUGGACAAUGGGGGGAACCCUGAUCCAGCCAUGCCGCGUGUGUGAAGAAGGCCUUUUGGUUGUAAAGCACUUUAGGCGAGGAGGAGGCCACCGAGAUUAAUACUCUUGGAUAGUGGCCGUUACUCGCAGAAUAAGCACCGGCUAACUCGUGGCCAGCAGCCGCGGUAAUCCAGAGGGUGCGAGCGUUAAUCGGAUUUACUGGGCGUAAAGCGUGCGUAGCCGGCUUUUUAAGUCGGAUUUGAAAUCCCUGAGCUUAACUUAGGAAUUGCCUUCGAUAAUUGGAAACUUGAGGAAUGGAGAGGAUGGUAGAAUUCCAGGUGUAGCCGUGAAAUGCCUAGAAAUCUGGAGGAAUAACGAUGGGGAAGGCAGCCAUCUGGCCUAAUACUGACGCUGAAGUACGAAAGCAUGGGGAGCAAACAGG
rnacentral:rRNA from 1 species